rnacentral:lncRNA from 1 species
GCAGAGCUGACUUUUGGAGGGCCGAGUUGCAGGCGGCGGGCGCAUCCCGGAGAUGGCGGGGCAGGGAGGGAGGGAAGGAGGAGGGGGCGGGGAGGGAGGUGCAGAUUUGCACGGCUGGCCUCAGCGGGAGGCGCGGAAAUGCAAGCCGAGCAUGCUGGCGUGAAAGCCCCCGGGGCCUGGCACCCCCAAAAACGACCCCCCACCUCCGUUCCUGCCCUCAUUGCCCAGGGCUACCCCUCUUCCUCUUCUUUCAUCCACCCCUCCCCCAACAUUACCUGUGUGGCCGACUCAAAUUCAAAGCAUUUUGUAUAUAUAACUGUUUUCUUUUUUUGCUUUUCUGCUGCAUGUCUUUUUCGUGGGGGGUGAUCCUCUGCAGAUCCCCCCAUUUGCGGACCCGCCAUGUGGAGGAGGCAUUUGGGGGGCUCAGAAGGAAAUUAGCUCGGCUUCCAUACCUAUAAGGACUGCCUAACUUUUAAACUCCCGGCACUCAAAGAUGUGGACACACACACGUACAGGAAAUACAGCCAGACCAGAGCCUUUGCAGUCCGCAGCUGACCGGAAGACGUUGCCUUUCAUUCAUUCAUUCUGCCCGCCUCUGUGGACUCCUUUACUAGGCGACCAGCCCUGAAACAGAAGUUGGACAUUUUUUAAAGGUUCUUGCGCUCGGCAAGGGGAGCAGAUAGAUGCUCAGGAGCGAAAGACGCAGAGAAUUGGAUCUGGCGCCUCCUAACGCAGCCCGCACAGGAGCGAAGGAGAGUGUGACGAUCCCCCUGAUGCGGCUGAGAUGUUCUGAAAUGAAGACGUUGGCUCUCAUCCCCAGCCUGAAGAGAGAAAAUUCUGAGAUGGCUCCCUUACAGAUUGAGAGCAGAUACGGGGUUUCACCGUGCUAGCCAGGAUGAUCUCGAUCUACUGACCUCGUGAUCCGCCCGCCUCGGCCUCCCAAAGUGCUGGGAUUAUAGGCGUGAGCCACCGCGCCCGGCGGCUGUGGCUAAUUAUUAGGCACUGGGUAGGAACACAGCCAAGAACGAUUGCAGGAUGGGUCCUUCCAGGACACUGACGUCUCAGCUUGCGCACUGUGAGUCCCUGGACGAGUUACUCCACCUCUCUGAACCUCCUCCUCACUUGCAUAAUGGGAAAAAUAAUGGACAUAGGAAGAUGAAACAAGACCUUGGAGACCACA